rnacentral:tRNA from 1 species
GCGCCCAUCGUCUAGCGGUCAGGACACGUCCCUUUCACGGAUGAGACCGGGGUUCGAUUCCCCGUGGGCGCGCCA